UUGGCAGUUCCCAGCUCUGAGAACUGAAUUCCAUGGACUGGUUCCAGUUCCAUGCAUUCAGUCCAUGGUAUUCAGUUCUCUAGCUUGGCUGCAUCAA
rfam:Tyto alba contig9800, whole genome shotgun sequence.